AGAGAUUGAUCCUCAUCUAGUUCUAGCCUCCGUUCAGGAAGCUGCAGAGAGCAAGGAGGGUUCCCCUCUGCCUCCUUCAGCCUGAACAGCCCCGUUCCCUGAGCUGUUCCUCGCAAGACCUGUGCUCCAGACCGAUCACUGCUCUUCUCACAGGCUAUCUUUAAAGAUCAGCUCUUGGCCCAUCUUUGCUCAGUGGCUUCCUUGUGCAAGAAGUGCAAGAUUUGCUGUGGCUUUUUAAUUCCAGUGGCAGAACAGUGAAAUGAGCUCCCCAGAGAGGCUGUGGAGUCUCCUCCGGAAACUUUCAAAAGCUGCCUGCAUGUGUUCCUGUGUCGUUUACUCAAUCAAGAUUGAACUUGGACUGUACUACGUUGUCUUCAGAGGUCCCUUCCAGCCCUUAACAUUCUUGAUUCUGUGAAAAUGGCUAAGGAUAACCACAGCUAUGGAGCCAGCAUGUGUCCAGGUGGCCAAGAAGGCCAACAGCACCCUGGCCUGUAUCAGGCAUAGUGUGACCAACAGGACCACAGAAGUGAUUGUUCCCCCAGACUCGGCGCUGGUGAGGCCACAUCUUGAAUCCUGGAUUCAGUUUAGGGGCCCUCACUACAAGAACAUCAAGGUGCUGGAGCAGGUCCACAGAGGGGCAAUGAAUCUGGUGAAGGGUCUGGAGAGCAGGUCUUGUGAGGAGAGGCUGAGAAAACUUGAGUUGUUUCAUCUGGGGAAGAGGAAGCUGAGUGGAAACUUUCUCACUCUCUACAACUCCCUGAAAGGAGGCUGUAGUGAGGUGGGUGUUGGUCUCUUUGCCCUAGUAGCAAAGGACAGGACCAGAGGAAGCAAGAGAAAUUACACGUGGCUUUCCUAAAAGUCCAAGGGUUUGCAGUUAAAUUUAAUGCUCAGUUUUUCAGCUUAAAAGUCGGAAUUCCCUCACAAAAAAUCAUGGCUACUAGCACCUAUGUCAGCUAAAUCUCUAUUCAGAUGGUUGCAGCCUGGAUAUUGAAGUACUUUGUAGCACAAAACACAGUGUGGUCAUUAUAAAGAACUCUUACUUUUUGGCCGAAGAUGACUUUCCUCCUGGGGUUUAAUGCAAAGCCUUCUGCUUAUCUUUGGAUGCACUUCUUUAGUCAUCCUCAGUACUGAGGGAAUAUUUCUUCCCAGAAGUUUAACAGCCCUGUCUGGAAAAGAAAGCAGAGGAAACAAAGGGGUCAAAUCUAACUCAGGAUAGUUGAAAAUGAGAACAGUAGCUUUUAAAUUAAAGUGUCUGGGGAGUCACCAUCCCUGGAGGUGUGCAGAAAAAGACUGGAGGAGGCACUCAGCGCCAUGGUCUGGUUGAUUGGCCAGGGCUGGGUGCUAGGUUGGACUGGAUGAGCUUGGAGCUCUCUUCCAACCUGGCUGAUUCUAUGCAAAGACUGAAUGAGGCACUUAGUGCCAUGGUCUGGUUGACUGGCCAGGGCUGGGUGCUAGGCUGGACUGGAUGAGCUUGGAGGUCUCUUGCAACCUGGCUGAUUCUGUGACAACAGGUAGAAAUCUAACAUGCAAGAGGCACUGCACUGAGUUGUAACAGAAUCCACCAAAGAAAUUAAAUCUCACCUGUAAACUACGACUGGAGCAUACCUGCUGAGCCUUACUCAGCAAAACAGGCACGCAAGGCCACAGUUAGAAGCAACUUCUAAAGCAUUAUGUACAUCGCAGUUUUAAGGCAGUCAUCUAUCAAGGCGUUUCAGGUCCUUCGGGCAGUGCUCUUUCCAGGACCGCACCCCAGCGCUCCUCCAAUCUUGUCACAGCCUUACCGAGGGUGAAAAGAAAACCGGAGGGGGCCUCCCCCCACCCACCUCUGACAGGCAAGUUUACAAACGGAAAUUUUUCUCUCGUUUAAACGGACUGAAAAUGUCUCUCCCAUGAGGAAGAACUCAGAGUUGCCUUUUACGUUCUAGUCAUACAUAAAACAACGUUCACACUUA